AAACCUGCAGCAGGUGCUUUCAGCUGUUGUAUCAUUCAUUAAUUCACUCUUCAGCGGCGACCGAGAUAUCGAGCCAUUUGAAUGCUGUUAUACACACGGUGUAGCGAGUAGGUCACGUGGCCUCUAUUUAGCGAAGUCCGACAACGACGGCACAGGGUGCGCAUAAGCAGCUUCUCUCUAAAAGCACUGCAGACUAUGGGCUGGAGCGAGCUGCUCCUUAUUUUCGUUCAUGCUGCCUGGAUGCUGGUGGCACCGCCUCGCGCAGCAGGGACUCUGUGUCCCCCGAAUUACUGCGACAACGUCACGUGCACGCCGAUCAAGUCCAGCGAGUGUGACGGAAAGGUGGAGGUCAGAGCCAGCGACUGUGGCUGCUGCGAGCAGUGCGUCAAGCAGCUCAAUGAAGGCGACGUGUGCUUUGAUUUAACCGUGUACGGGCUCCGAAAGUGGGGUGAGUGCAAGAGGGGCCUAAAGUGCAACAGAGCGAUUUCCAAGUGCGAGAGAUCCCGCUAUCGGCCCUUCGAGGACGACGACGACGAAGACAAGCUGGAAGCCAUACUUGACUAUUUGUAAAGCUCAUUUCCUGUCCUACAACGGCGCCUCGACCAUGUGUCGCACUAACGCACGUCCGCGCAUGCGCGAAACCAGCACACUUACCGUACACCUGACCAAUACAGACGCGCAGGCCCGUACAGAUGUGUUUACGACAUAUACAGAUGCGUGCAAGAUUCUCCAAGGUUUUGUUCAACCGCAACAGCAGCCGACCAGAUUUAGCGUCUGGCGAGGCUAUCUCACUAUUAACCAGAAUUAGUUGGCGCCGUAGGCGCCAACUAAUUCGUCGACGCUAACUAAAACGACGUAGGCGCCCUUUCUAGCAGCACCAAAGAAAUAAAAGAGCGCGCGCCUACGGUGUUUUAAUAAACGUCGCGAUAUAAGCCAAUAUUAUUUAGCCCUUAUUCAUUUCUACAGCGAGGCCGGAGCGGGGAGAGAAAUGGUUCAAUAAAUUCUGACAGAAGAAAUAAAAACGAAGAAACAAAAUGAA